UCAUUAACAAAGAUAAUAAAAUCGCAUAAAAAAUAUUAUUAAUUAGUAAGCCAUAAAAAAGAACAUAAUCUAAAAGUACUGUAUAAGUCAUGCUAAAAUAAGUACAUCUAAUAAGUACUAUUAAUUACAUGACUAAGCACUAAAGAAAAAGAUAAACUAAUUUAUGCAUUUUGUUAUACAAAUGCAAAACUAAGAAUAGAUAUCCAACGAUAUUGUCAUUUUUAGUGUUGAAUUGAAUUUAUUUUGUUAGCAUUAGUAUUGAUUUGACUUUAUUAGAGUUACCACUUGUGUGGACUAUAUAACUUAUUGAACCAUUCAAGAAUGUUAAGUCCAAAUUUGAAAUAAUAUAUUAAAAGAUAGAACUGUGAAAAAGUUCAAGAAAUAUUUAACAAUUACAUUACAAUAAAUAUUUAUAUGAAUAAAAUAUUUUCAAAAAUUGUAUAAAUGUAUUGUCGAUUUGGUUUGGUUUCGGUUUGAAUUUUUUAGUUAAACCUAAGUAAAUCAAUUAUGGUCGGGUUUUUUUUUCAAUACCAUACCAAAUCAAACCAUAUAAGAUUUUUUUUUUUUUCCGGUUUGACUCAGAUUAUCGGUUUAGUGCGAUUUGUCGAUUUUUUUCCCCUAAUGUAAUUUAUAUUAGUGACAACGUAAAUAUUUUGUACACUAUUGAAAUGGUAGGUCAACUUACAAAUAUUUUUUAUUAUUCGUACAUAAAACUUAAACUCGAUUGACAAAUAGUACUUGAAUCAUAAUAAGAUUCUAAAUAGAUGGAAAGUGUAAGUAGGAAUGUAGGAUAAAAGGGUGUUUAAUAGGUAGCUUGGUCCUACAGGUCUUGACUCAACCAACUUAGUCAAAUCAAUAUGAAUAUAGUCAAGGUAUAUACCUUCUUAACGCAAGAUCACUUCUAAAAUAAGUUUGUUACAAAUUGUUAAAAAAAGAUUUUCUUUCUCCGUAUAUUUCGUUUUUCAUUUUAGUUUUUAGCUAAGAAAUUUAAUCUAUUGCUUAUUCUUAAUUUAGUAAUAGCAUAUGUUAGGUUACACUUUAUUAACCGAAAGUUUUGACAGGUCAAAUUGAUCAAUACUCUCAACCUUUAUUUACAUUUAUUUUGUUUGUUAUCAAUAGCCCAAACUAUCAAACUUUCAACAAAUUGCGGUAGGUACAUAAAUAUAAGCACAUGGGUAAGACUGCCUAAUAAUAUGGGGCGGUUGAAUUGAAGAAGAUGGCUAUGGAGCUAAGAGCUAACCUACUCUUCCCUUUUAGCCAAGGCUAUAUGCAUAUACAUAUCAAGAUUGUCGACAAGUGAGGCCUGCUCAGUUGGUAAAAGCACCUCCACCCACGACCGUUAGGUCCGAAUUCGAAUCACGCUGGAGGGGAAGUGUGUAAACACUAUAAAUUCUUCUAUUUCGGGAGGGGUUUAAAAAAAUAUAUCAAGAUUGUCUUUAUCAAUUUAUAAGCAUGAAUAGGGUGGAAAGAUAGGUGUUGUUUUCACAUAUAGGUUGCUCAAUUUCUAUCCAUAAGGAAGAUAUUUUGAUAUUUUGAUAAUGAUGGGAAUAUGUGAGAGAAAUGAUACCAAAUAGCCACUCUAAAGGGCUGUUAUUUAGGAAUUAGUUAAUGUGUCCUGAAUUUUAAUUUAUCAGUUCAAUUUUUCGAGAUAUAAAUGUCCUAAAUUGUCCUGAAAAUUAAGAUUUUAGUUCAAUUUUUCAGGACAAAACAAGUAAUGAUAGUGACUAAUCCCUAAACAGGAGCACUAAGAAUGGUUGUUUGUGCACUUUCCCCGAAUAUGUGCCUACAAUCGAGUGGUGUGGUGGAUCGGUCAGAAAUCAUUUAUUCUUAAAAAGAUGUUUCGACAUCAAAUCCUAUAAUGGAGAACCUUUUUAAAGAAAGCAAUUUACCAAGUUAGUCCUCUUAAUUUAGUGCGAAACUAGAUUAGUCAGACUAACGAAGUUACUUCCUUUAGUUUAGUGCGAACCUAGAUUAGUCAGACUUGCGACUCACUAGUUUCAAAUACUUAAAAGGUAAAAAAGAAAAAAGAAAAAAAAAAGCACCAACUUCUUUGCAUAUUCUGUCUAACAUUUCUACACAUUACCAUUCAAAUCUAUGUUCUGUCAGAAAUCAUAUGCGCGAUGUAUUGAGUUGGAUCAUUGAAACGGUAUGGUCUCUGACCUCGACUAAUUCCAUAUCAGUGGGUUUCUACUUUCUACCAACAAUAUUAAAAUGGAAGGUGAGAGACGCCCACUCUAUACUUUUUCGCCAGCUUUUCUGCUUUGACAUAAAAAGAAAAAUCACCUAAUAUUUUUGUCUAGACUGAGAUUUGAACCAAACAUUUCAUGGUUAACUCACUUCAUUAACCACUAGGUACCUCUUGAAUGAUAUUUCAUAGAGGUGUCAAAUGGACGGGUUGAGCCAAUUUUGAACGGGUCAAAACGGGUUGAGUUAAUAAAUGGACGGGUCAAAUGACCCGCCCAAAAGUUACUUGAGCUUAUAUAUAUGAGUUGGGUCAAGAUGGGCUAAAAUUUGGGUCAUAGUCCAACCCGUUCAACUCUUACCAAAUUUUAGUUAAUAUGUAUUGUUUUCUUAUGAAUUGUAUAAUUACUAAAUAAGAUUUUUUUUUUUCUUUUGCUAUCAUAAUCAUAUCUAACAUAUCAAACCAAGAAGAUAAAUUAUUUCUAAGAUAUUUUGGCAAACUACUCAUGGAUCAAUUUGGACUAAAUAUCAAUCCAACUUUAAACGGGUUGAGAAUGGGUUGUGUCAAGAUGGACUAAAUUUAAUAAAUGGGCGGGUCAACAAUCAGCCCAACCUUAAACGAGUUGGGCAGGUCAUUUGGGCUUGGGCUAAAUUUGACGGCACUACUAUUCCAUCAACAUUUACAAAAACAUGUUUUUUUCCUUCUUCUAAAUACCCAUUAUAAAGUAAGCAUCGCUGAGAGAUCUGGGCUGAAAUGUUUUACAGUCACACAUCUCUAUAACAUUCCUAUAUAAUACUUCACUAUAAAAGUCAAGCUUUUUCGGAACCAAUUUUUAUGUUUAUGUUAUAAUAUAUGUCCUCUUUAACAACACUUCGCUAUAACAUCCAAAAAUAUUCAGAACAAACGAGGUUGUUAUAAAGAGGUUUGACCGUAGUAGGCAUAUGGUUCGCCUUUUGUUCUGUUUUAUUUUGUUUUCCUUUUUGAACUUCAUUCUUAUCGACAAAAUUACACAGGCAGCCAUAUACGAGGGUUUCAAGCAAGUCAUACCAAGGAAGAAUAGCAAAUCAAAGAAGGAAGUGCACUUCUCGUAACUUUCAACACGAACAGUCAUUUUGAUCUUAUGGAAACUUGUUAGUUGAUGUUCGUCUAGUAUUACUAGAAUCCUUGUAAAUUAUAUUUCAAGUACGAUCGAUGCUAUUUGCAGAGUAUAUUUCAAGUACAAUCAAUGGUAUUUGCAAAUUAUAUUUCAACUUAAAGUCGAAAUAAUAGGGGGUGGGCAGUCGGUUCGGUAGAAUUUCGGUUCGGUUUAUUCGGUUUGUGAUUUUAAUAAUCAAAACCGAACCAUAAUAACUUCGGUUCGGUUCGAUUUAGAGCUCGUUUGGAUUGAUUUAUUUUAAGUGCUUUUAAGCCAAAAUAACUUUUAAGUCAUUUUGUAGUGUUUGGAUAAAGUAAAAAAGUUUUUUUAAGCACUUGUUUUUAAGCUAAAAUGACAAAAAUAAGCCAAAAACUAGAAUUCCUAACUUAUGGCUUAAAAGUCACUUAAAACAAGCCCAUCCAAACAUGCUCUUAUUCAUGUUUUAAGAGUUAAGGUGCACAAUUUCGAGCUCUUGCCUUGUUUCAACUUUAUCCUAUUACUAAAUAACAGUUCAAAACUUUGUUAGUUUUCAAACUUAAAUAAUAUCAUGGAGAAAAAUAGUAACCGGAUUCUUGAUUAAGCUUAUUCGAUCAAAUAUAAGUAAAGAGAUUGAUACAUAGAAGCUACUACAGAUGCCUACACAAUACGUUUUCUCCUAAUGUGAGACAAUAUACCUAAUUAUUUUGUUUUUGAUAACCGUGGUGUCCGGGCAGCUUGCGCGCACCAGCAACAAAUAUCAGGUAACUCUAUCCACCAAGGCUUGGAUAGAUAGGAAGAAAUCACCUAAUAUUUGCCUCCGUUGGGAUUUGAACCUGAGACCUCAUGGUUUUCACCCACUUCAUUGACCACUAGGCCACAACCCUUGGGU
rnacentral:lncRNA from 1 species